rnacentral:rRNA from 1 species
ACUUACAUCUCUUCGGAGCAUUUUACGUAGGUGCUGCAUGGUUGUCGUCAGCUCGUGCCGUGAGGUGUCGGUUAAGUCCCAUAACGAGCGCAACCCCUACCUUACGUUGCCAUCAGGUAAUGCUGGGGACGUCUAAAGGAACUGCCUACGCAAGUAGUGAGGAAGGCGGGGAUGACGUCAAAUCAGCACGGCCCUUACGUCCAGGGCUACACACGUGCUACAAUGGCCGAUACAGAGGGCAGCUACCUGGUGACAGGAUGCAAAUCUCCAAAGUCGGUCUCAGUUCGGAUCGGAGUCUGCAACCCGACUCCGUGAAGUUGGAUUCGCUAGUAAUCGCGCAUCAGCCAUGGCGCGGUGAAUACGUUCCCGGGCCUU